AAUAGAUACCCGGGUAGUCCACGCCGUAAACGACGGAUGCUAGCUGUUAUGCGUAUCGACCCGUGUAGUAGCGAAGCUAACGCGUUAAGCAUCCCGCCUGGGGAGUACGAACGCAAGUUUAAAACUCAAAGGAAUUGACGGGGACCCGCACAAGCGGUGGAGCGUGUUCUUUAAUUCGAGGCUAAGCGAAGAACCUUACCAGGGCUUGACAUCCUUGGAAUUUCUCCGAAAGGAGAGAGUACUUUAUUGGACCAAGUGACAGGUGCUGCAUGGCCGUCGUCAGCUCGUGUCGUGAGAUGUUUGGUUAAGUCCAUUAACGAGCGCAACCCUUAUGAAUAGUUGUAUUUUUCUAUUCAGACUGCCCCGGUAACGGGGAGGAAGGGGGGAUGAUGUCAGGUCAGUAUUGCCCUUACGCCCUGGGCUAGAAACGCGCUACAAUGGCCGGUACAAUGCGCUGCCAACCGCGAGGGGAGCAAAUCGCAUCAAAGCCGGUCCCAGUUCGGAUAAGAGGCUGAAACUCGCCUCUUUGAAGCCGGAAUCGCUAGUAAUCGUAGGUC
rnacentral:rRNA from 1 species